GACGAACGCUGGCGGCGUGCUUAACACAUGCAAGUCGAACGGAAAGGCCCUGCUUUUGUGGGGUGCUCGAGUGGCGAACGGGUGAGUAACACGUGAGUAACCUGCCCUUGACUUUGGGAUAACUUCAGGAAACUGGGGCUAAUACCGGAUAGGAGCUCCUGCUGCAUGGUGUGGGUUGGAAAGUUUCGGCGGUUGGGGAUGGACUCGCGGCUUAUCAGCUUGUUGGUGGGGUAGUGGCUUACCAAGGCUUUGACGGGUAGCCGGCCUGAGAGGGUGACCGGCCACCUUGGGACUGAGAUACGGCCCAGACUCCUACGGGAGGCAGCAGUGGGGAAUAUUGCACAAUGGGCGGAAGCCUGAUGCAGCAACGCCGGGUGCGGGAUGACGGCCUUCGGGUUGUAAACCGAUUUCGACUGUGACGAAGCGUGAGUGACGGUAAUGGGUAAAGAAGCACCGGCUAACUACGUG
rnacentral:rRNA from 1 species